CACAUGCAAGACCGAACGAGAACGGGUGAUUGAGUUUACUAUGACUGUCAGCUAAGUGGCGCACGGGUGGAGUAAUAUAUAGUUAACCUGCCCCAAAGAAGGAAUAAUUGUUGGAAACGACUUGUAAUGCCCUAUAUGCCUUUAUUACAAAAGUAAGCAAGGGAAACAUUUAUGGCUUUGGGAUGGGACUGUACGGUAUCAGAUAGUUGGUGGGGUAAUGGCCUACCAAGUCAAUGACGCCUAACUGGUUUGAGAGGAUGAUCAGUCACACUGGAACUGAGACACGGUCCAGACUCCUACGGGAGGCAGCAGUGGGGAAUAUUGCACAAUGGAGGAAACUCUGAUGCAGCAACGCCGCGUGGAGGAUGACACAUUUCGGUGCGUAAACUCCUUUUAUAUAAGAAGAUAAUGACGGUAUUAUAUGAAUAAGCACCGGCUAACUCCGUGCCAGCAGCCGCGGUAAUACGGGGGGUGCAAGCGUUACUCGGAAUCACUGGGCGUAAAGAGCAUGUAGGCU
rnacentral:rRNA from 1 species